AGAAAAGAGCCAAGCGGGAUCGGCAUAGAAGUGAUAUUUCUACUUAUGCCGUUGCUUUUGCUCUAGGAUUGAGCCUGGUCGGUGCAGGUUUGCUUCUGGGGUGGACUGUAGGGUGGAUGCUUCCUUCUUUCUAGGCUUAGUUUGAAUGAACUUCUCUUAGAAGAAAAGAUCAGUUGACAAGGGUACGUGCUCAAUCAAAUAUAAGCUCUGUGUGUAUCUG
rnacentral:misc_RNA from 1 species